rnacentral:ncRNA from 1 species
UGUACCUUUAUCCUUGGAGGCUAAGUUGGUAAUUUUUCUUACAUCUCCCCUUCCCGGAGUCCAGAUAUGAUAUACGCCCCCAAAAUAAAGAGCCUUGAAUAAUAAAAAAAAAUUA